rnacentral:rRNA from 1 species
ACGCUGGCGGCGUGCUUAACACAUGCAAGUCGAACGGUGAAGCCCAGCUUGCUGGGUGGAUCAGUGGCGAACGGGUGAGUAACACGUGAGCAAUCUGCCCCUGACUCUGGGAUAAGCGCUGGAAACGGCGUCUAAUACUGGAUACGAACCGUGGAGGCAUCUUCAACGGUUGGAAAGAUUUUUUGGUCAGGGAUGAGCUCGCGGCCUAUCAGCUUGUUGGUGAGGUAAUGGCUCACCAAGGCGUCGACGGGUAGCCGGCCUGAGAGGGUGACCGGCCACACUGGGACUGAGACACGGCCCAGACUCCUACGGGAGGCAGCAGUGGGGAAUAUUGCACAAUGGGCGCAAGCCUGAUGCAGCAACGCCGCGUGAGGGAUGACGGCCUUCGGGUUGUAAACCUCUUUUAGCAGGGAAGAAGCGAAAGUGACGGUACCUGCAGAAAAAGCGCCGGCUAACUACGUGCCAGCAGCCGCGGUAAUACGUAGGGCGCAAGCGUUAUCCGGAAUUAUUGGGCGUAAAGAGCUCGUAGGCGGUUUGUCGCGUCUGCUGUGAAAUCCCGAGGCUCAACCUCGGGUCUGCAGUGGGUACGGGCAGACUAGAGUGCGGUAGGGGAGAUUGGAAUUCCUGGUGUAGCGGUGGAAUGCGCAGAUAUCAGGAGGAACACCGAUGGCGAAGGCAGAUCUCUGGGCCGUAACUGACGCUGAGGAGCGAAAGGCUGGGGAGCAAACAGGCUUAGAUACCCUGGUAGUCCACCCCGUAAACGUUGGGAACUAGUUGUGGGGUCCAUUCCACGGAUUCCGUGACGCAGCUAACGCAUUAAGUUCCCCGCCUGGGGAGUACGGCCGCAAGGCUAAAACUCAAAGGAAUUGACGGGGACCCGCACAAGCGGCGGAGCAUGCGGAUUAAUUCGAUGCAACGCGAAGAACCUUACCAAGGCUUGACAUAUACGAGAACGCUGCAGAAAUGUAGAACUCUUUGGACACUCGUAAACAGGUGGUGCAUGGUUGUCGUCAGCUCGUGUCGUGAGAUGUUGGGUUAAGUCCCGCAACGAGCGCAACCCUCGUUCUAUGUUGCCAGCACGUAAUGGUGGGAACUCAUGGGAUACUGCCGGGGUCAACUCGGAGGAAGGUGGGGAUGACGUCAAAUCAUCAUGCCCCUUAUGUCUUGGGCUUCACGCAUGCUACAAUGGCCGGUACAAAGGGCUGCAAUACCGUAAGGUGGAGCGAAUCCCAAAAAGCCGGUCCCAGUUCGGAUUGAGGUCUGCAACUCGACCUCAUGAAGUCGGAGUCGCUAGUAAUCGCAGAUCAGCAACGCUGCGGUGAAUACGUUCCCGGGUCUUGUACACACCGCCGGUCAUGUCAUGAAAGUCGGUAACACCUGAAGCCGGUGGCCCAACCCUUGUGGAGGCAGCCGUCCAAGGUGGGAUCGGUAAUUA